rnacentral:rRNA from 1 species
GAGUAACGCGUAGGAAUCUACCUAGUAGUGGGGGACAACUCGGGGAAACUCGAGCUAAUACCGCAUACGCCCUACGGGGGAAAGCGGGGGACCUUCGGGCCUCGUGCUAUUAGAUGAGCCUGCGUUGGAUUAGCUAGUUGGUGGGGUAAAGGCCUACCAAGGCGACGAUCCAUAGCUGGUCUGAGAGGAUGAUCAGCCACACCGGGACUGAGACACGGCCCGGACUCCUACGGGAGGCAGCAGUGGGGAAUAUUGCGCAAUGGGCGAAAGCCUGACGCAGCCAUGCCGCGUGUGUGAAGAAGGCCUUCGGGUUGUAAAGCACUUUCAAUUGGGAGGAAAGGUUCACGGUUAAUAACCGUGAGCUGUGACGUUACCUUUAGAAGAAGCACCGGCUAACUCCGUGCCAGCAGCCGCGGUAAUACGGAGGGUGCGAGCGUUAAUCGGAAUUACUGGGCGUAAAGCGCGCGUAGGUGGUCUGUUAAGUCGGAUGUGAAAGCCCCGGGCUCAACCUGGGAACUGCAUCCGAUACUGGCAAACUAGAGUGCGGGAGAGGGAGGUAGAAUUCCAUGUGUAGCGGUGAAAUGCGUAGAUAUGUGGAGGAAUACCAGUGGCGAAGGCGGCCUCCUGGCUCGACACUGACACUGAGGCGCGAAAGCGUGGGGAGCAAACAGGAUUAGAUACCCUGGUAGUCCACGCCGUAAACGAUGUCUACUAGCUGUAGGGGUACUUGAGACCUUUGUAGCGCAGCUAACGCAAUAAGUAGACCGCCUGGGGGAGUACGGCCGCAAGGUUAAAACUCAAAUGAAUUGACGGGGGCCCGCACAAGCAGUGGAACCAUGUGGGUUUAAUUCGAUGCAACGCGAAAGAACCCUACCAGGCCUUGACAUCCUCGGAACUUUCUAGAGAUAGAUUGGUGCCUUCGGGAACCGAGUGACAGGU